GACAGCAGUAGCCGCGGGAAUACGUAGGGUGCAAGCGUUAAUCGGAAUUACUGGGCGUAAAGCGUGCGUAGGUGGUGGUUUAAGUCCGUUGUGAAAGCCCUGGGCUCAACCUGGGAAUUGCAGUGGAUACUGGGUCACUAGAGUGUGGUAGAGGAUAGUGGAAUUUCCGGUGUAGCAGUGAAAUGCGUAGAGAUCGGAAGGAACAUCUGUGGCGAAGGCGACUAUCUGGGCCAACACUGACACUGAGGCACGAAAGCGUGGGGAGCAAACAGGAUUAGAGACCCCCGUAGUCCCUGUCUCUUAUAC
rnacentral:rRNA from 1 species